rnacentral:lncRNA from 12 species
UGAGUGCAGUGGAGCCACACAUCUGCAGUGCAAAUGAUAUCCUAAAUGUGAAAGCAAAUGCACAGCACAUGGGAGCCCUGACAGAUGCACUCUGUCCUGAAACCUGGGAGCAGCACAAAUAACACCAGCCUCACUGUCAGCACCCAAGGCCCUGGGGCAACACUACCAUGGAGGCACACUCAGCUGUAGGAGGGUGCUCCCCAGACUGACACACAAGCAGGCAUCUUCUACUCCCAUUUGUGGUUUAUUCUCCAUUGGUUUAAAGACAGGAGGAAGCUCCUGAGGAAGGGACAUGGAGAAGUGCCUUGUGCCAGAGCAGGUGGAGUGGUCUGCCGGGAGAAUGGCUGGAAGAUGCUGCAUCUCCUGGCCUACUUGGCUGGAAUGGCAGCUCCAAACUCCUUGAUUCCCUCAGUUGUGGAUAAUCUAAUCUUUCAGUACACACACUUGCCUUCUUCAAAAGAAACACAAGGACAAAAUUACUGAAACAUGGAAGACUUUAAUAAGAACAGAUUAAAA